rnacentral:rRNA from 1 species
CCUACGGGAGGCAGCAGUGAGGAAUAUUGGUCAAUGGACGAGAGUCUGAACCAGCCAAGUCGCGUGAAGGAUGACUGCCCUAUGGGUUGUAAACUUCUUUUAUCUGGGAAUAAAAUGUUCCACGUGUGGGAUUUUGUAUGUACCCUAUGAAUAAGGAUCGGCUAACUCCGUGCCAGCAGCCGCGGUAAUACGGGGGAUGCAAGCGUUAUCCGGAUUUAUUGGGUUUAAAGGGUGCGUAGGCUGUGAGGUAAGUCAGCGGUGAAAUGCCCCGGCGCAACGGGGUGAAGUGCCAUUGAUAGUGCGUGGCUGGAAUGCGGAUGCCGUAGGAGGAAUGUGUGGUGUAGCGGUGAAAUGCAUAGAUAGCACACAGAACACCGAUUGCGAAGGCAGCGCACGGGUCCGCGAUUGACGCUGAUGCACGAAAGCGUGGGUAUCAAACAGGAUUAGAUACCCUAGUAGUC